GACGUAGGGUGCAAGCGUUGUCCGGAUUUAUUGGGCGUAAAGAGCUCGUAGGCGGCUUGUUGCGUCGACUGUGAAAACCCGCGGCUUAACCGCGGGCUUGCAGUUGAUACGGGCAGGCUAGAGUUCGGUAGGGGAGACUGGAAUUCCUGGUGUAGCGGUGAAAUGCGCAGAUAUCAGGAGGAACACCGGUGGCGAAGGCGGGAUCCUGGGCCAGUACUGACGCUGAGGAGCGAAAGCGUGGGGAGCAAACAGG
rnacentral:rRNA from 1 species